AGUCGAGAGGGUUCGGCCCUCGGCUGACGGCUCAGUAACACGUGGAUAAUCUGCCUUUAGGCGGAGGAUAACCUCGGGAAACUGAGAAUAAUACUCCAUAGAUCUAGGAUGCUGGAAUGCACUUAGAUUGAAAGCUCCGGCGCCUAAGGAUGAGUCUGCGGACUAUCAGGUUGUAGUCAGGGUAAAGACCUGACUAGCCUACGACGGAUACGGGUUGUGAGAGCAAUAACCCGGAGACGAUAUCUGAGACACGAUAUCGGGCCCUACGGGGCGCAGCAGGCGCGAAAACUUCACACUGUGCGAAAGCGCGAUGAGGGAAUCCCAAGUGCUUGCUCGUAAGAGUAAGCUGUUUCUUUGUUUAAAACCCAAAAAAAGUAAGGGCUGGGUAAGACGGGUGCCAGCCGCCGCGGUAAUACCUGCAGCUCAAGUGGUGAUCGCUAUUAUUGGGCCUAAAACGUCCGUAGCCGGUUUAGUAAAUGCCUGGGCAAAUCGUGUAGCUUAACUAUACGAAUUCCGGGUAGACUGCUAAACUUGAGACCGGGAGAAGCUAGAGGUACUCCUGGGGUAGAGGUGAAAUUCUGUAAUCCUAGGGGGACCACCAGUGGCGAAGGCGUCUAGCUAGA
rnacentral:rRNA from 1 species